rnacentral:misc_RNA from 1 species
GCACUUGAUGGAUUUCUUGUGAGGAUUUCUGAUUAUCAAUUAAACAUCUCACCAAUCUUGGGCAAUAAAAGACUUGGGAUUGAUCUGACUCCAGAAGAGGUGCUGCCUUCCUAUCUAUGGAUGUUCCUCAAUGGCAGUAGAAUGAAAGACUGGCCCAAGAAAAAUAAAAAUCCUUACUUCUUUGCUAAUUUAUAGAUGGAUAGAAACAUACUAAUUUCUUU